CAACAUUUCAAUUAGGCAGCUCUUCUGAAAUUAGAGGUUAUGAAAGUACACAUUUCUAGGUGUGGAAAACACCAUCUGUCAAGGAGUCCCGAGCCGUUUGGCGUUCUGAGGCAGGGACAUUGCGGGGCUCAGGCCUUGCAGGCUUUAGCUGAGACGUAUCCAGUGACCAUCACCACACCGGGUGAGCGAGUGGCUUCCUGCAAGGCCAUAAUAUCAGAGUCUGUGGCCAGGGCAGUGAUUAAUGACCUUAUUUGCAGAAAGAAACCCUCAGGGAGAAGCCAAGUGCCAAGGAGAGAGGCUGGCGAGGCCCUCCCCAACAGACUGAGAAGGGCAAGAGGGAUGUGGACAGCCACCAAGAAAGCAGAUGGAGAAAACACUACAAUGAACCCUCAUGUACUAAACACCAAGCUUCAUUAUAUAAGAUGGUUAAUCCCGUUUCACACCUAAACAAUUCCCCACUUUCUGUCCAGCUUCCAGACAUCAUGUCAUCUCAUCCAAGGGUAUGUAUUCUGGGAAGUUAAGAACUCUCUUUUUUAUUUUUUAAAAAGGUUUUAUUUAUUUAUUCAUGAGAGAUCCAGAGAGAGAGAGGCAGAAACACAGGCAGAGGGAGAAGCAGGCAGGCUCCAUGCAGGGAGCCCGACAUGGAACUCGAUCCUGGGACUCCAGGAUCACACCCUGGGCUGAAGGCAGGCGCCAAACCGCUGAGCCACCCAAGGAUCCCCAUCAAACUUAAGAUUAUAAAAUGUUCACUAAAUUUUUU
rnacentral:lncRNA from 1 species